UGUGCGGAGGAGAAGGAAGACGUGCCCUCAGGCCCUGAGCCUGAGUGCUCAGUGCACCGGGAAUCUUCGCUGACUCUGGACUGCACCCUAAACCAGGAAAUACAGAACCAAUGACUCGGCCAUGGAGUGAACUCCUAAGCCUCCUAGAAGUUGAGGCAGGGUUUGAAAGCACCCUUUCCUAAAGAUCUCUCUGGGAAAGCAGGUGGGUGUUCCUCGAUGGUUGAAACCACCAGGCACGAGCAUUUCUUCACCUCUCCGGCUUCCAGCACCUUCCAUCUCCAUGAGCUGGGACUUCUUUGAUUGAAUUCCACCUCUUUGGAUUUUGCAGUUAACUGCCUUGUCAGCAGCCUGGAGAACCCUUCUGUGUCUAGAUGGAAAUGAAGGUGCCGAUUCUU